rnacentral:rRNA from 1 species
GACGAACGCUGGCGGCGUGCUUAACACAUGCCAGUCGAACGGAAAGGCCCUGCUUUUGUGGGGUGCUCGAGUGGCGAACGGGUGAGUAACACGUGAGUAACCUGCCCUUGACUUUGGGAUAACUUCAGGAAACUGGGGCUAAUACCGGAUAGGAGCUCCUGCUGCAUGGUGGGGGUUGGAAAGUUUCGGCGGUUGGGGAUGGACUCGCGGCUUAUCAGCUUGUUGGUGGGGUAGUGGCUUACCAAGGCUUUGACGGGUAGCCGGCCUGAGAGGGUGACCGGCCACAUUGGGACUAAGAUACGGCCCAGAAUCCUACGGGAGGCAGCAGUGGGGAAGAUUGCACAAUGGGCGGAAGCCUGAUGCAGCAACGCCGCGUGCGGGAUGACGGCCUUCGGGUUGUAAACCGCUUUCGCCUGUGACGAAGCGUGAGUGACGGUAAUGGGUAAAGAAGCACCGGCUAACUACGUG